CAAUUAAGCGGAGGAAAAGAAACUAAACAAGGAUUCCCCUAGUAACGGCGAGUGAAGCGGGAAGAGCUCAAAUUUGAAAUCUGGCAGUCUUCGAUUGUCCGAGUUGUAAUCUAUAGAGGCGUUUUCCGUGCCGGACCGUGUCCAAGUCUCCUGGAAAGGAGUAUCAAAGAGGGUGAUAAUCCCGUACUUAACACGACCACCGGUGCUCUGUGAUACGUCUUCUACGAGUCGAGUUGUUUGGGAAUGCAGCUCAAAAUGGGUGGUGAAUUCCAUCUAAAGCUAAAUAUUGGCGAGAGACCGAUAGCGAACAAGUACCGUGAGGGAAAGAUGAAAAGCACUUUGGAAAGAGAGUUAAACAGUACGUGAAAUUGUUGAAAGGGAAACGAUUGAAGUCAGUCGUGUUCUUUGGAUUCAGCCAGUUCUGCUGGUCUACUUCCUUGGAACGGGUCAACAUCAGUUUUGUCCGGUGGAUAAAGGUAGUAGGAAUGUGACUUCUCCGGAAGUGUUAUAGCCUAUUAUCACAUACACUGGGUGAGACUGAGGACUGCAGCUCGCCUUUAUGGCCGGCCUUCGGGCACGUUCGAGCUUAGGAUGUUGACAUAAUGGCU
rnacentral:rRNA from 1 species